CCCAGCAGAAGAGCAGGCAGAGGAAGAGGGGGUGGAGGGGCGAGGCUCCCCUUUCAUCUGGGUUUGGUUCCGGAGGAGGCCUAAAGAGGAAUUAACCCGGGACGUCAUUGGAAGGCAAAAGUCCCAUCCAAAGUGAAGGCCUGGGACAAGGCAGGAUACAUCAUUUGGGAGCUUCCUGAUGGAACAAAGGUGCUCACCUCAUUGCCAGGAAGCAGAAAAGAGAGAAAGAGACUGCGUGCGAUACCCUUUCAAGAUACCCUGCAAAGUUACACCUCGAUUAUAGAUUACUCACUGCACCCUACCUCUUAGUUUCCACCACCUGCAAAUGCCCAGGUAGGAAGUAAACCUCUGGCCCCUUGCGGAAAGACUCCAAACUCCAGUAAUGAAGAAGUGGACAUUCUUCUUCGUCAGGAACACAGACACAGAAGAGGGGAGAUUUGUGUCUUUGUUAGUCAGGGUCUCAUGUAGCCCAUGUGGGUCUCAAACCCACCGCACAGCUGGGGAUGACUUUGAACUUCAGGUCCUCCUGCCUGGCUCCCAAGCGCUGCACCACUGUGCCUGGUUUACUGUAGUGCUGGGGUGAAGCCCAGGGCUUCCUAGAUGCGAGGCAGGCACUCCGUUGACUGAGCCACACCCACAGCCUUUGAUUUCAAGCUCCACAAGUAGUGAUUUCAAAAUUGCUGGGAAGAACAGACAGGCCGCCUGACUCCCAACUCAUUGAUGACACUCUCAGCACACCUAAGCCUUAAAUCCCGCCUGCUCGGUUGUCAAUUGGAAAGGCCAAGGAAACUGUGAAUAUGCCUCAGUGAGUGGCCAGCCUGAGGCUGGAUGAGGCUAACGGACAAAUAUAAACCUCUGAAGGACUGGGGAGAUGGCUCGGCUGUUAGGAGCAGUUGCUGUUUGUGCAGAGGUUUGGAGUUCUCUUCCCAUCACCCAAGCUGAGGAGUUCACAACGGCCUGGAAUUUCAGAUUCCCAGGGAUCCAAUGUCUCAGGCCUCUGUGGGCACCAGCACGCACACAUACACAGACAUAAAUAAAGAAUAAAAGUAAUCUUCAAAAUAAAAAUCCUGUCCAUUUUAAA